ACCAGACUCCUACGGGAGGCAGCAGUGGGGGAUAUUGGACAAUGGGGGAAACCCUGAUCCAGCGACGCCGCGUGAGUGAAGAAGUAUUUCGGUAUGUAAAGCUCUAUCAGCAGGGAAGAAAGAAAUGACGGUACCUGAGUAAGAAGCCCCGGCUAACUACGUGCCAGCAGCCGCGGUAAUACGUAGGGGGCAAGCGUUAUCCGGAAUUACUGGGUGUAAAGGGAGCGUAGACGGUAAUGCAAGUCUGGAGUGAAAGGCGGGGGCCCACCCCCCGGACUGCUCUGGAAACUGUGUAACUGGAAUGCAGGAGAGGCAGGCAGAAUUCCUAGUGUAGCGGUGAAAUGCGUAGAUAUUAGGAGGAACACCAGUGGCGAAGGCGGCCUGCUGGACUGUAACUGACGUUGAGGCUCGAAAGCGUGGGGAGCAAACAGGAUUAGAUACCCGGGUA
rnacentral:rRNA from 1 species